UAUUGCACAAUGGGGGAAACCCUGAUGCAGCGGCGCCGCGUGGGCGAGGAAGUACCUCGGUAUGUAAAGCCCUAUCAGCAGGGAAGAAACAGGACAGUACCUGACUAAGAAGCCCCGGCUAACUACGUGCCAGCAGCCGCGGUAAUACGUAGGGGGCAAGCGUUAUCCGGAUUCACUGGGCGUAAAGGGAGCGCAGGCGGCAUGGCAAGUCUGAUGUGAAAACCCGGGGCCCAACCCCGGGAGUGCAUUGGAAAACUGCCAGGCUGGAGUGUCGGAGGGGUAAGCGGAAUUCCUAGUGUAGCGGUGAAAUGCGUAGAUAUUAGGAGGAACACCAGUGGCGAAGGCGGCUUACUGGACGACUACUGACGCUGAGGCUCGAAAGCGUGGGGAGCAAACAGG
rnacentral:rRNA from 1 species